rnacentral:lncRNA from 1 species
AUGGUGACUGCUGCUGCUGCAGGGGGGGGGUCUGGGAGUAAGGUGAUGGCUGACUUUGCUGACCGUGGCCUGGGGGUUGCUGCGCUUGGGGAGGCAGACCGCCUGCUUGUUGCUGCUGUUGCUGGGGGGGUGCUUGUUGCUGUGCUGGCGGCUGUUCUGGCCCGGGGGGUUGUGAGUACCCAGGUUGGCCUUGGGGGCCCGGCUGAUUCUGAGGGCCAGGGCCCUGUUGCUGUGGCUGCUGCUGUUGAGGCUGGGAGGGGACAUAGGGCUGCUGUCCCGGCUGAGACUGCGGGGGCUGGCUAUAGGAGGGCUGCGCCGCAGAGCCGCCGUGGGGCACCUGGGUCUGUGGAAAAGGGGCGCCUGGCUGCCCGUGUUGGCCCGCAGGUUGGGAUAGCUCCUGGCGGAGCUGGGGGAGGUCAGGAGCUGGUUGAGGGUCGGCGUGGACGUGGGCUGCGGGUUUCCGAUGUUAUACCUCUGGUUAUUAUAGGAUGCAGCCAUAGCCGCCGUGGCUCCCGGUGGCUGCUGCUUGCCUGACUGCCCCCCAGCCGCCGGAGGCUGGCUGCCGCGCGGGGAAUUCAUGCCCCCGUAGCCCUGGCCCUGGUACGAAGUCCUGCCCGCGAACGGACUGUAGUUGUUGUAGCUGUUGGGGUAGCCGUGUUCGUGGGAGUUCGGGGGGUACGGCUCCAUCACGCCCGGCCCCGGUGCAGCUGCCAUGCCAGGGCUUUGUUGUCCGCCAUGUUGAUGAAAAGGGGCCCGGCUGUAGGGCUGGUUGUAAGCGUAGGGCGGUGGAGGGAAGGGGCCCUGGUGGUGGUGGCCCAUUCCGGGGUGGGCAUUCCCCUCCAGUCCGCCCGCAUCGUUCUGGUUGCUGCCGUUGUUGUUGACCCGGGCUAAAGUCCCGUUCUUCAUGUCGGGAUCCCCUCCUCCACCAGCCUCGGCCCCGUCCUGCAGCUCCUUCUGCCGCGGGGAGCCUCCGUCGGCUCCCGCGUCCUUGUUUUCAUGCUGCUUCUCGCCCGGUACCGACUCGUCCUGCGCGUCCCGGUCCGGCUUUUUGAGUUCGGAAGGCGGGCUGGUGUUGAGAGUGGCGACCUGCGCGGCCAUGAUUCCCGGUGUGUCGGUCCUCCUCCGGUGUGUCAGCGCGGCGCCUCACUCGCAGACGAACUCCGGACAACCAUGGAAAAUAAAUACGAUUAUUUCAGCAACGACGUCCCCGCCGUCCCGGUUCAUCCCCCCGCUGCCCUCCUCCCGGACCGAUCUCCGGUAAUCCACGGCGGCUCCGGUAAAGUUGAACUCGCAGGGAAAGUUUUUACAAAAAAGCGGCAUAAAUGUGGAGCGGGGACGUGAAAUUACCGACACGGGUCGGUUUGCGCGUGUGUGUGCGCGCGCGGGUGUUUGUUCAGGGGGGGCUUCUGUUACAGAACGGCAGCGCAAACUCGAAAUCAACCGGACCAGCACGAGGCUCCGCGAGACACAGCCAUCUUACCGACCUGCCGCGAGGAACCGAAAUCCCGGCGCGGAUCGCAGCGACGGCUGGAUCCGGAUCCCAUCCGCGUGCUUACGUCAGAGGGGCAGGGGCGUGGCCAGGACGGGCUAACGGCGGGCGCAGCUUCAGGAGGAUUUAGAAAACCUAAAACGACGUGAAAUCAGAACAUUUCUGCUGGGUUUCUGGCGGAGCCGUAUGGGGACAGACGGACUUUUUUCUGUAGCAAACAGGGGUUCAUGAAUAAAUCUGUUUUUUCAUAACUCUUGUUUCUACGCUGGACCACACACAAACACACACACACUACACAGUGGAGCAGUGAUGAGCACUCUUCCUCAAAGCAACAAGGCCCCUGGUUCAAGUCCUGGCUGGGGGGACCAGAACACCAAUGGGGGACCUUUCUGCAUGUUCUCCCCAUUUCUCUGGCUUCCUUCCUUUCUCUGGCCGGGAUAGGCUCCAGCAGCCCCGUGACCCCAAAAAAUAUACAUGCACACAAGGACACCGAAACCACCUGACGAAGCCCAUCAACCCGCUUAUACCAUGGUCACUCACAAAAGAAAGAAAUAUCCAAUCUGCUUGUAGUACUUUAGUUUUUUGGUUUAAGUCGCUUUUUUCACAAAAAGCGGACUAUUUGAUAUGUAUUGCAGCGUGUUGUCAUGGUAACAGCUGAGCCAGCACCAAGCUCGAGUGCAGCGCCAAAGGAAAAAGAUUAAUGCUGAUGAUCACGAUGUGUUGAAUAAAGCAUCAGUUCAGAGAGAAAGUUCACGUCUUACCGCCUGUUUUUGUGCAGAUGAUGAAGCUAAAGUUUGUUUGGUAGAAGCCAGCGCAGUGAAACCAAAAAUUUAAGCUAUGUGACCGGAACUACUUUUUUAGGCGUGCGGUUAUCACUGUGCAUGAUCACAUUUAUACUGUGGCCCGGGUAAAUACUCUAUUCUGAUUGGCUGCUGGGUGUGCGUUAAAAAGUGAUAAACAACAGUGAUAACCGCAUGGUGAAAAAAGGAGUUCCGGUCACCUAGCUUAAAUUUUUUGUUUCAAUAAGCGGUAAGACGAGAACUUUCUCUCUGAACUGAUGCUUUAUUCAAACCAUCGGAAAGAUCAGCAUAUAUAUCGCCGAGUCUCGACUGCAGCAGUGGUACGGUGCGACGCAGACUAUUUGUUACGCCGCACCACGUAACAAAACUGGUUACUAUAUUUUAUUUUUGUAAGUGACCAUGGUGUAAGCGGGUUAAUGGACUUCAAAGUAUGCAUUAUUACUUUUUAACACACUUCGCGGAAGCAACAGCCCAGCGGAGGAGGGUUCAGGCUUCCACAGCGUGCAUUAAAACGUGAUAAUGCAUACUUCGUCAACCAUUAACCCUUACUUAAUCCACACCCAGCAGCCAAUCAGAAUCAAGUCUUUACCCAGACCAUGGAAUAAAAAGUGAUAGUGUACACCUAAAAAAGAAGUUCCGGUCACAUAGCAUGAAUGUUCUGUAUCACUGCGCCUGCUUCCUUAAAACUUAAAUUUUAUCAUCUGGACAAAAACAGGCGGUAAGACCUGAACUUUCUCUCUGAACUGAUGCUUUAUUUAACACAUCGUGAUCAUCAGCAUAUAUAUCUAUUUCCUUUGCCGCUGCAGACGAGGUCGGCUAAGCGGCACCACGUAACAACUAGUCGGCUUUUGGUGAAAAAAGCAAACCAAACCGUAAAAAUAAAAAGAGCAAAGGACUAAAAACUGGUUGAAUAUUUAUUUCUUUUGUAAGUGACCAUGGUAUAAGCGGGUUAAUGGCCUUCAAAGUUUGCAUUAGUCCGACGCGAAGCGGAGGACGGUUCAGGCUUCCAUGUGAUACGUUAAUUUCUGAUAAUGCACACUUCAUCGGCCAUUAACCCUUACUGAAUCCACACCCAGCAGCCAGUAUUAUUCACCCGGACCAUGGUAUAAAUGUAUGUUGCUCGCCAUUUUUGCUGCACUGCUAAUGUUAGGUUGGUGUUCUGAGAGGCUGUAAGCUAGCGGGAGAGAGUGUACAAAAAGGCAUGAUGGGAUAUCAGUGGAGGCUUACUUCCACGUCAACAGUCCCGCCCACAGCUCAGAGAUGACUUUCUAAUCUUCUCCUGCCGCUUUGCAGACACUAUGUCCAAGAAAACAACAGGUUUUUAGAUUUUGGCUAAAAACAGCAGAAUCAUAAAUAAAAGACCACUUCAAAAGUAGAUUAGGAAAUGAUUGGAGAGGGACUUUAAAGACUUUCAGUUUUAAUUUUUCUUUUAUUUUGCUUUUCAUUGAUGUGAGUUUGAGAGUUUUUAUUGUCACAUUUAUACUAUUUAGAGCAUUUAA